UGAGAGAGAGAGAGAGAGAGAGAGAGAGAGAGAGAGGGAGGAAGGGAGGGAGACAGACAGACGGAGGUAGAUGGCCAUGGAAAGAGAGCGAGGGGGAGGGGUAGGGGUGAUGGAAUUCACAAGUGGGAGAGUGGGGAUGGUCAGAGAAAACCAUAGAAGUUUUUUUUUAGGGAGAAUUUGUGUUUGGUUGUCGGAUUUAAUUUGGUUUUUGCUUUCAGGAAAAACUGGGGUUCGAAUUUUGGGGUUUAUGAUGUGGGUUUGGUUUCUUUUUCGUGGAAUUUGUUGUAUUUGUACCCUUUGGAUUUAGGUUUCAUCAGAUGGCGUUUGUAGUGUUUAUAUUGAACUGUCGACUCUUUUAUUCUUUGUAGGUGAAAUUGAAGGUCAGCAAUCUCUUAAAUUGAUGAGGGGGCUACAAUUCGUGCAAGGAAAAAGCCAGAGAUAUGCUACUAUUUGAGAACAGAUAAAGAGAUGGUAUCCUUCCCGUCUCGUCUGGAAAUGCAUUGAGUACAAGAAGACUUAUCGAGUGAAGACAGCAGCAAGGAAAUUUGAGCCUUGGCCUGUAGAGAUACGAUUUUGCAAGGAAGCUAGGAAUUUAGAUCGUCGGAGGGAGAAGUUGGUCCCUUGGCAUUUUGAGGUGCAUAGUUAUAUGCCCUUGGCAUUUUAAUGCAAUUGAAAAUGCAUUACGGAAUCAGAACCCGCAACAGCGCGCGGUCAAUUUUCUAGUUAUAACCUAAAUAAGCCAUUUUCUCAAAUUCAAAACCAAAUGUAAGUUUCAAUAUAAUACAGAAGUUAUAGUGGAGCACCAAUGUAACACGAAAUAUAAAAUUUUCCUUCGACAAUGCAAUAUAUGACACAUAUACUUGGCCAACUGCCCUCUUGGCUAGAAGUGAACCAUUUGCGGAAUCUGUGGUCUGAUACAGGCUGGGAAACUUAGCAACAAAUGCUUGUAGGGUUUCUCUAUGGCAUUAUGAAAUUAUCAAUUUUCAUCUCAUCGUUAUGUCAUCAAUCUUCAA